rnacentral:rRNA from 1 species
UAAGUUGGUAGUGAAAUUGUGUGGCUCAACCAUACACCCAUUAUCAAAACUGCUCAGCUUGAGCAUAGAAGAGGUAGCUGGAAUUUCUAGUGUAGGAGUGAAAUCCGUAGAUAUUAGAAGGAACACCGAUGGCGUAGGCAGGCUACUGGUCUAUUGCUGACACUAAGGCACGAAAGCGUGGGGAGCGAACUGGAUUAGAUACCCAGGUAGUCCACGCCGUAAACGAUGGAUGCUA